rfam:Peptoniphilus sp. oral taxon 375 str. F0436 noncontiguous_finished_chromosome, whole genome shotgun sequence.
UGAUAUAAUAUAGCCAUAACUUAAUAGUUGUCUUAGGAAAAGGGAAAUUGGUGAAAAUCCAAUACAGCCCCCGCUACUGUAAUUGAGAUGAAAUCAACAAUAAAGUCACUGAGAAAUCGGGAAGACGUUGAAAGUAAAGUGAUCAUAAGUCAGGAGACCUACCUAUGGACAUUAAGUUAA